rnacentral:rRNA from 1 species
GUGGGGAAUAUUGGACAAUGGGCGCAAGCCUGAUCCAGCAAUGCCGCGUGGGUGAAGAAGGUCUUCGGAUCGUAAAGCCCUUUCGACAGGGACGAUGAUGACGGUACCUGUAGAAGAAGCCCCGGCUAACUUCGUGCCAGCAGCCGCGGUAAUACGAAGGGGGCUAGCGUUACUCGGAAUUACUGGGCGUAAAGGGCGCGUAGGCGGCUCUGUUAGUCAGGCGUGAAAUUCCUGGGCUUAACCUGGGGAAUGCGCUUGAUACUGCAGGGCUUGAGGCCGAGAGGGGGUGGUGGAAUUCCCAGUGUAGAGGUGAAAUUCGUAGAUAUUGGGAAGAACACCGGUGGCGAAGGCGACCACCUGGCUCGGUUCUGACGCUGAGGCGCGACAGCGUGGGGAGCAAACAGGAUUAGAUACCCUUGUAGUCC